UUUGGUGCACACAAGCAUGAACGUCGCUUUAUGCUUUUUUCUCGGCAGGCUGCAACUUUCUUCCUAGUGUGUAGUAAGUUCUUCAUUACCGUCUUCCUUGGAAGACGGUAUACAGAGUUUAAGUGUUUUACAGUCUUCGGACUUUGCACUUCCUCUCUUUUUUCAUUGGUAGAAAGUGCAUGAAGUGAAAAUUUUCAAUUAUUUCAUUGGUUGAAAUGCUCUUCAAUGCAAGGGAGAUAAUUUUCUGGUGUUCUAAUUUUCGCACGACUUAACAAUUUUUCAAGAUUUUCAAUCUUUAAAAAAAUCGACAAAACGAACAAAAGAAAACUGCAAUUCAUGAAAUUGACACAUUACUUUUUUAAAAGCAACUAAUACAAAGCAUUUCUAUGGUUACUUCAUUUACAGCAAUGUUUUCAUUGUUGCAUACAAACAGAAAAACUCGCCUUUUUUAAAAAGCUUUACUUGUUUACAUUUUACUGAUGAACCAUUUUGUUUUAAAAAUAUUUACCAAGCUACUGUCUACAAGUAUGGCUGAUUUAAGAUACCCACAUGAUGAAAGUUCAAAAUAAUUGAAAACAUAAAUAUACAUUUCAAUACAUAAAAUAUUUAUUGCAUGAAACAAUCUGCAUGUUAAUCUACUCUAUGGAAAUCAAUGCCAGUGUAUCGUCUUACAAACAUCUAUUAUUUGAUUGUAGUCUGGUGAUACGCGAUGUGUAACGAAACCUAAAA